AGCAAACUUUAAACUUGAUUUCUCCUACACGCCCUACGGGGGGGGAAAAAAAAGCAAACAAACCUGUACAUCCUGGGAGGAAAUGAAACUAAAAGACAGUUAGAGUAACUUUAACCUCAGAAUUAAAAGACAGUUGUUUCUUUACUAAGUAAAGCAGGCGCGUGCGUAAAGGAGGCUUCGGCUUCAGGGACCUUCCAGCGUCAUCGAGGGUGUUGUAGUUCGAUUGCCGACACUGUGGUUGUGUGGAUGGGAAGCCCAAUCGAAAAGACUUAUAAACCCACCGUAAGUUUAUUUGGCUUUCGACUGGAAUUUCUGUGCUAUUUGGAAACCCCCCUCCCCCCCUUCCCAGAAUUUUAAGGAUCUCUACGGCUUUGAACAAAGGGAAAUGACCAAGAUGUCCUGCUCUGACUAGCUCCUUUAACGCUUUGGGGCUUGUUAGGCAUUUUGAAAGUAUGAGACUCAGAUGCCUGCGAACGUGUGAGUGUGAGUGUGUGUGUGAGUGUGUGUGUGUGUGUGUGAGUGUGAGUGUGUGUGCGCGCGCGCGCGCGCAUGUUUCCGCCGCUAGAAACAGUUGCCAGUGCUGCGGAAACUAACACGUUUCCCACUGCCUCUGAGAGAGGAGCGGCUACAGUCUCACAAGAAGAUUAAAGUGGCAGAUACUCCUUUCAGCGGAAGUUACUAAUUCGGACCCGACUUAUGCAGUUUCCAUAGCAACCUGCGUUUCCUGGGAAACCCGACACAGGUUGUCAUGGCAUCUCUCGUCCUCUGUCCCCGCCCCUUAGCCCCUGCCGUUUCCACAGUAACCUUUCCAGCCGGUUCCGACUGACACGAUUUCAUGGGGAAAACCAGGGUUUGAAUCAACCGCACAAAUGAAGUGAAGUCGGAGACUCCAAGGGGGUGAAAUGACUCACUAAAUGCAUAUUUUUAUUUUUUUAUUUUUUGCUAUAAAAAACUCAUUGCUAUCAUCCUAAAAUGACUGAAUUGAGAGAGGGAAAAGAUCACCUUUGGGAUUUUAGGUAUACACCGCAGUCGGGCUUGAUGUGAAUUAAAUUCGAGUAAUUGGGCAAUAAUUUCAAAAGAUGCUUCUCUACUGUUUUUUUUUCCUCCAAGAAGUUUCCAGCUGACAAAUGAAAUGAAAAAGCAGAUAGAAAAGUGUUCUGUGCAUAAGUAAACGAAAGAGUCAAUCAGUGUACCUGAAACCUUUCUACAAGGGACCUUCAGAUGUCCUCUUUAAAAAACAAACAAAAAACAGAUCCCACAACAGCACUGUCACCGUCACAGCUAAAUAAAAUUGCAAACUCUGAAGGAUGCUUGUUCUUAACUGAGGGAAUUGCAGACAAUCGCAAAGAAGGGAUGGGAAGUGACCAGAUCUUGGGGGAAAUGCCUUCAAGCGCCAGCCGAGGGCCAGGCCGAGGAAGACGGACAGGACCAGAUCCCUGAAGAGCCCGCAUACAGAGCCGGCGAGCCGCGUAGGCCAGUAGGAUGCUCAGGUUUUCACUGUCUAGCUCAAGAACGCAGUGCCGGGCUUGUCGCUGUCGCCGGUGACCGGUCGGCCAGCACUUGACGCUAAAUAACAUUGUCCCUUACGAAUGCUUUCUGUAGAGGAAAUAGCUCCGAGGAUCUUCCAAUGGCGUGCAGUAUAACUCAUCAAGAGAUAAAGAAGACCAUUACACAUGUCAGGGCAUCAUUUCAACCUUUUGACAUUUUGGUGAAAUUCAGUGAUCCAAAAACUAAUCAGUGUGGCUGACAAAGAAAACCGGAAUGUUUCCGACAAGCCAGCUAUUGCUGUGUCUCUUCUUGCGGCGAAUUACUGGACUGGGUUUAGCCGGGAGCUCUAGUCGCGUUGUCUUCUAAUAAAGGCUUACGUGCGCCUUUAUUUGUGAGGCUGUGUGUUGUACCAAAGGCUCUCGGACCCAGAUCAGCCCCUGCACACGAGAGGAAGCGAAAUGACACUGUGCCGGCAUGAAUGACGUCAGAGGCAGGCUUGCCUAAAAGAAAUGUGCCUUGCUUGAUUCAACAUGCUUUUAUUUUUUUGAUGAAAAAUGCUAGAUUUGCAAAUUAAUCUCGUAGGCAGGUGUUAGCUGAACUUAAAAAAAAUGCUAUCAGUAUUUACUAUAUGUUUAAGUUGUCUGUCUUGCUAAAAUCCAGCACUGAGUUAUGCUUUCCCACAGUUUAUACGUGAUAUUCUCCCUCCGUUUCAUGUUCAUUUAGUGUUCGCGUGGCGAGACCAAGCACACUCCUGAAGAUAUAUAGUGUUUCCUCUAAUGUUUAUAGAGUUUCCUCCAGAAGGAUACAUGUCAAAGCUGUCUUGGUUCAUUUUCUAUUUUUAUAUUCUUUUAGAAAUGAAACUUUUUUCUAUUAAAAAAAAAAAGGAAAGUUUUCGUUGGAAAAGAGAUAUAGGAGGUCAUGGAGAUGGUUUCCCAUUUGGGGCCCUUUCCCUUCUGUGCGAUUAUUAAUGUAUCGACUGUGACAUUUCAGCAGAAUGGUAGCUAUUUGUAUAUUAUUUAAUAAGCCUUAUGGAAAGUCACACUGUGAACAUUUAACAUAAAGAAGACUUCUUCUCAUUUCCAUACUUUAUUUUCCAAAUACACCUGAGCCAAUGCAUAAA